rnacentral:rRNA from 1 species
AUUGAACGCUGGCGGCAUGCCUAACACAUGCAAGUCGAACGGCAGCACGGUCUAGCUUGCUAGAUGGGUGGCGAGUGGCGCACGGGUGAGUAACGCGUAGGAAUAUGCCUUGAAGUGGGGGAUAACUUGGGGAAACUCAAGCUAAUACCGCAUAAGCUCUUAGGAGGAAAGCUGGGGACCGUAAGGCCUGGCGCUUCAAGAUUAGCCUGCGUCCGAUUAGCUAGUUGGUGGGGUAAGGGCCUACCAAGGCGACGAUCGGUAGCUGGUCUGAGAGGAUGGCCAGCCACACUGGGACUGAGUCACGGCCCAGACUCCUACGGGAGGCAGCAGUGGGGAAUAUUGGACAAUGGGGGCAACCCUGAUCCAGCAAUGCCGCGUGUGUGAAGAAGGCCUGAGGGUUGUAAAGCACUUUCAGUGGGGAGGAGGAUUGACAGGUUAAGAGCUAGUUAAUUGGACGUUACCCACAGAAGAAGCACCGGCUAACUCCGUGCCAGCCGCCGCCGUAA